rnacentral:lncRNA from 1 species
UUUUUUUUUCCAGCUAACAGAAUAGAGAAAGGAUGUGACUAUGGAGCACAGAAGUGAAGAGGAUUUAACACAAACACUGAAAUAUUCCAUACCUCUAAACAUGUACCCCAUACUUUAAAAAGACCUUAUACAAUUCACAUGGAUAUAAUCCAUCCUUCCUUAAUCUGAACCCCAGCUGACUUUGAGAUGGAGACAAAGAGGAGGGGAGAAGACUGUUUAAAAGGAAGGAAAUCUGUUUAUCUCUCACCUAAGAAACAUCUCUUCGUAUAACAACAAGGAGAAUAAUAUUACCUUUGUGCUAUGCUAAAUAAUCAGAGCAACAAUUGCAAACACAAUUGGACUUUCAAGCAAGAAUGAGAUGAGAAUGCCAAGUCUACCACAGCAGCUCAACAGCACCAGCACCUGGGAAUACACACACGCAGCAGGACCUGUUGGCUGCAUCCCUUUGGCCCGACAAAGAAAUCCACAGAGGCUGCAUGCGUACACACUUUGGGGAAGCAAUACCAGAGUGGAGCUUCUCAUGCUGUUUCCAAAGGUGUAAGUAAGGAUAUUGCUAUUUGUUAAUGGAGUUAACAUGAAAACAGUAGAAGCGGACUGAUAAAUGUUACCACAGAGACACUUUCCAUCUCUUUGUUAAUUGUAGGGCUAGCAGAAGUUACAUAGACUGUUAAAAAAUCCAUUAAGUUCAAUUACUUGCAACAUUUACUGAAGAAUUUACUGAAGAUCAGCAUCCUACAAUUAUAUUUAACAGCAAACUCAGAAAUGCCAAUUGCAACAGCAGAAGUUUUUCUGCUGAAGUAGGAGCCUCAUUCACCAAGCGUAAGGAGCACUUACCUACGUGAACUCCAAUUCCUUGUCCCAUCCCUCAUGUUUUUCUUCUUCAUUAAACCCAAUCGUUGCAUUUGUAUUCUAUUGUAAACAAUGUUUGGAUACAUACAUACUUCUAAAAGUCAUUAAUUUCUCAGUAAUUCACAACAUUUGUUGUCCAGGCCAUAAAAAAUACUCCAUCUGAAAUUAAAAAAUCUCAAAAGUUGAACUUCUUCUUAUCCUUAGCCUAGGUAUUAAAUUCCUCCCAUCCUACCUGUGUCUUUGUGAUGUGAUUACCUUAGCACCACCCAACUGUGAUAAUAUCAUGCAUCAAUAAUAUUUAAUCAUCAGAGAAGAUAGACAACGUUUAUGUUCAUAAAGUUCUAUGUAAAAAAGAACAAAACCCCACGUAUUAAAGCACUC